ACAACUUUCAACAACGGAUCUCUUGGUUCUGGCAUCGAUGAAGAACGCAGCGAAAUGCGAUAAGUAGUGUGAAUUGCAGAAUUCAGUGAAUCAUCGAAUCUUUGAACGCGCAUUGCGCCCCUUGGUAUUCCAUGGGGCAUGCCUGUUCGAGCGUCAUUAG
rnacentral:rRNA from 1 species